rnacentral:lncRNA from 1 species
CGAUGACAGGGAAAUGAAUCAGGCAGAUUCAGCCUGCGCAACCCCAGCUGUUUCCAGGCAAGCUCUGCACAGUGGAGCCCGGGUGGGACCAGAUGAAGGCAGGAACAAAGGCGGCUUAUGGGAGGCCCAGAAUGUCCCUUUCACAUUGGACCCUGGGAGCCCCAGGAAUUAGCACAAACAGUGAAAUGGUCCACGAUGGUAACAGUAAGGCUCACGUGUGCAGCGCCAUGUCAUUUACAAAAUGCUGGCACAGGCAGCACCCCCGGGAGCCUCACAACUUCCGGUGAGGGAUGCAGACCGGAUGCCGUCUCUCAUGGAGCGUCCCAGAGUGAUCCUCCAGCAUCCACCUCUGCGGCUCACAGCGCCACCCAGUGGUCAGACCCGUGGCCCGGCUCCAUGGCUCCCUCGGGCCCCUGGCUGGGCAGAGCCCGGAAUCUAAGGUGCUCUUCCCGUGAGCCCCUCCUCUGGGGCGUUGCUAGGACAUCUGAUCAGAGGCGUUCGGAGGCCCAGCACUGGCCCCAGAUCAGCCCCAACGCCAAGGGAAGGCUGUGCCCCGGGACACCUGAGAUGCAAAGAUGACUGAUGCACACGGUUCACUGACGACCAUCCGACUGUUCCGAGAAAUGGAGAAACCAGAAGGAAGAGCCUGGCCCCACAGGAAGCAGAAGACAGACCUGAUCCUCCAAGAAGCCAGGCUUGAGCUCCGCCAGGGGCCACUCACCCCAUUCAGGAGAAGAGAGAGAUUCGCCCAUCAAGCGGGUGCAGCUGGCCGCUGAGACGCGGCGCCUAGGAGCUGAGUUCCGGGCCCGCAUCGCAUCGCAUCGCAGAGCCGUGGCGCCGUCACAGAAGAGUUUAUGAAAUACAUUAUUACAGACGAAGUGCUUGGAGCCGUGCCUGACGUGAAGGACGCUCUUCACAAACGUCCACACCACCUCCUUCUGUCCACACCACCGUGCGCCACCUGCGUUCUCAGUCUCUCUUCACGCGGAGGAAGAACUCAGAGACGCUUGCGAGCAAUCUGAUGGCAGAAUCCGAG